CCGGUUGAAUGAAAGGAAAAUUCGAUGGAUCUCUAAAAAGGAAUUGACGGUAAAAAGGAUCUAGCCCGGACGGGUGAUCCUAUCCUGAUAUAGCCCUCCCGAAGAAUACGUGUAAAACGGAUUUAGCCCGGACGGGUAAUCCGAAUUAGGGUCUGAAUUUAGCCUGGACUGGUAAUUCAGAUCCAAGCUCAUUAGAGUAAUUGUCGUUGCAGGGGAUUUAGCCUGGACUAGUAAUC
rnacentral:lncRNA from 1 species